rnacentral:rRNA from 2 species
CUAGCGCGGUGGUCCCACCUGACCCCAUGCCGAACUCAGAAGUGAAACGCCGUAGCGCCGAUGGUAGUGUGGGGUCUCCCCAUGUGAGAGUAGGGAACUGCCAGGCA